GACAGAGGGUGCAAACGUUAUUCGGAAUUACUGGGCGUAAAGCGCGUGUAGGCGGCUAUGUAAGUCGGGCGUGAAAUCCCACGGCUCAACCGUGGAAGUGCACCCGAAACUGCGUAGCUAGAGUCCUGGAGAGGAAGGUGGAAUGCUUGGUGUAGAGGUGAAAUUCGUAGAUAUCAAGCGGAACACCGGUGGCGAAGGCAGCUCGCUGGGACGGUACUGACGCUGAGACGCGAAAGCGUGGGGAGCAAACAGG
rnacentral:rRNA from 1 species